AUUGAACGCUGGCGGCAGGCCUAACACAUGCAAGUCGAACGAGUGGCGGAAGGGUGAGUAAUGUCUGGGAAACUGCCUGAUGGAGGGGGAUAACUACUGGAAACGGUAGCUAAUACCGCAUACCAUCAGAUGUGCCCCGAUGGGUUUAGCUUGUGGGUGGGGUAACGGCUCACCAAGGAGACGAUCCCUUGCUGGUCUGAGAGGAUGAACAGCCACACGGGAACGGAGACACGGUCCAGACGCCUACGGGAGGCAGCAGUGGGGAAUAUUGCACAAUGGGCGCAAGCCUGAUGCAGCCAUGCCGCGUGUAUGAAGAAGGCCUUCGGGUUGUAAAGUACUUUCAGCGGGGAGGCGUUACCCGCAGAAGAAGCACCGGCUAACUCCGUGCCAGCAGCCGCGGUAAUAC
rnacentral:rRNA from 1 species